CACGUAGGCCGCUUUGUAAGUCAGGGGUGAAAUCCCACGGCUCAACCGUGGAACUGCCCUUGAAACCUGCGAAGCUUGAAUCCUGGAGAGGGUGGCGGAAUUCCUGGUGUAGGAGUGAAAUCCGUAGAUAUCAGGAGGAACACCGGUGGCGAAGGCGGCCACCUGGACAGGUAUUGACGCUGAGGUGCGAAAGUGUGGGGAGCAAACA
rnacentral:rRNA from 1 species